rnacentral:rRNA from 1 species
GGGGAAUAUUGCACAAUGGGCGAAAGCCUGAUGCAGCAACGCCGCGUGAGUGAUGAAGGUCUUCGGAUUGUAAAGCUCUGUCUUUUGGGACGAUAAUGACGGUACCAAAGGAGGAAGCCACGGCUAACUACGUGCCAGCAGCCCGGUAAUACGUAGGUGGCGAGCGUUGUCCGGAUUUACUGGGCGUAAAGGGUGCGUAGGCGGAUGUUUAAGUGAGAUGUGAAAUACCCGGGCUUAACUUGGGUGCUGCAUUUCAAACUGGAUAUCUAGAGUGCAGGAGAGGAGAAUGGAAUUCCUAGUGUAGCGGUGAAAUGCGUAGAGAUUAGGAAGAACACCAGUGGCGAAGGCGAUUCUCUGGACUGUAACUGACGCUGAGGCACGAAAGCGUGGGUAGCAAACAGGAUUAGAUACCCUGGUAAUCCACGCCGUAAACGAUGAGUACUAGGUGUAGGAGGUAUCGACCCCUUCUGUGCCGCAGUAAACACAUUAAGUACUCCGCCUGGGAAGUACGACCGCAAGAUUAAAAC